rnacentral:rRNA from 1 species
GAUGAACGCUGGCGGCGUGCCUAAUACAUGCAAGUCGAGCGAACAGACGAGGAGCUUGCUCCUCUGACGUUAGCGGCGGACGGGUGAGUAACACGUGGAUAACCUACCUAUAAGACUGGGAUAACUUCGGGAAACCGGAGCUAAUACCGGAUAAUAUAUUGAACCGCAUGGUUCAAUAGUGAAAGACGGUUUUGCGGUCACUUAUAGAUGGAUCCGCGCCUCAUUAGCUAGUUGGUAAGGUAACGGCUUACCAAGGCAACGAUGCGUAGCCGACCUGAUGGGGUGGUCGGCCACACUGGAACUGAGACACGGUCCAGACUCCUACGGGAGGCAGCAGUAGGGAAUCUUCCGCAAUGGGCGAAAGCCUGACGGAGCAACGCCGCGUGAGUGAUGAAGGUCUUCGGAUCGUAAAACUCUGUUAUUAGGGAAGAACAAAUGUGUAAGUAACUAUGCACGUCUUGACGGUACCUAAUCAGAAAGCCACGGCUAACUACGUG